rnacentral:tRNA from 3 species
CGUCCUGUAGCUCAGCUGGUUAGAGCAUCACUCUUAUAAAGUGGGGGUCCCGGGUUCAAAUCCCGGCAGGACGACCA